GCUCCUUUCAAAAGCCUUAACGCAGUCACUAGUGUUCAUCCGAGUUGACAUGUAAGGGGACUCUGCCAACUCUUUUCAAUCAGGGCGACUUUGAAUCCCCAUCCUGUGAGGUCUGCUCUUCUCUACAGGAGACUUUUCAGUUUUCUGCAAUUUAGGGUGGAUUUAUCAUUGGUGACGGUAUUUCCCAAUACCUUUUGUGUUCCUUUGCUGCUACCCUUGUCUGUUUCUCGGGCACUUCUCCUGGUGGCUGGAAGAGGGUGGGAUGGCAGCUUGGUGACAGCUUAUCCAUCAGAAUUUGGAUGAUUUUUCUCUUGACUCACAGCUAUUUUCAGUUCUGGCAUUUGCUCUUCAAGUAAUAGGACCCCUGCAGCCUGAGACAGGAGUGGGUGAGAAGGAGGGACCUCCAUACCCUGAUGUCUGAUCCACUUAUUGCUCAGGACAGGAUCAGGUUCAAAGCCUCAGCGUGUUGAUGGGCCCAGGUCGCCUCAAAUGGUGUAAGUGGAGGCCCCUGGGAAUGGCUCCUGUGGGGCUUCUCUAAUGUGUCCUCCUGUCUUCUCAUUUCCAGACCAAAAGAUAGCUUGUCCUCUCCUAGUAACUCUUGUCCUAGUGCUGAAGGCCCUGCAGCUGGUGGGUGUCUCUGUCAUCUUUGUCCACAAGAAGUUUUGGACCUGACCCUCCUUCCUCACCCCCUUGCUGGUGUCACUCUCCAUCUCGCCUGCCUCAUUCUCGCCUGAGGGGCCCAGCCCAGGAGAAGGACCCAGCUGGAAGCUGCCAUGACUCUACUCCAAAUUCCUCGCCUCCACGGAGACCUGCCUGUACAUAUGCUCCAGGAGCAGCCAGAGCUGCGUCUUCAUGCAUGGUCACAAGCAGGGAUCAUGGUCGGGUAGCUCAGGGGACCAAUUCACGAUGUCUACCUGGAAUGUGAGAAAUAAGGCCAAUCAACACAGAUCAAUGGCUCUCCUCCAUGGCCUUGGACAUGGCCAGGACCUACACAUCAUGUCCCUCCUCAAAGGAGUUUUUCUGUCUUGUGGGUUCCUGCCUUCAGCCAACUCCCUACCCUUUGAUGUGCUCCUUUACAUCUUGAGAACACAUGGGUCCCCAUCCUGACUUUAGGAAGAAAAGUGGUUCUCCUGCCUUUUUUAUCUUCCCUUUUUAUGGCCACCCCUCUGCCACAUGGAUGUUCCCAGGCUAGGGGUUCAAUGGGAGCUGCCACUUCAGGCCUGUGCCACAGCUAUGGCAAUGACAAUCCAAGCCACAUCUUCAACCUAUGCUGCAGCUUAUGGCAACAUCACAUCCUUACUCACUGAGCAAGGCCAGGGAUCAAACCCACAUCCUCGCAGAUACUCUGUUAUGUUCUGAACCCACUGAGCCACACCAGGAACUCGUCUGCUUUCUUUGUGCCCUAAUGUCCUAACCCUCAAACCCAGAAACUCUUACCCCCUCCUCUCUUUGCCAUGGGAACGCUCGUUCUCCUAUCAUCUUGCAUCUCUUCCACUUCUGUGACUCAUGGUAAAUACACUGUGUCCA
ensembl:lncRNA